ensembl:snRNA U6 U6 spliceosomal RNA
GUGCUCACUUUGGCGGCACUAAAAUUGGAACUAUACAGAGAUUAGCAUGGCCCCUGUGCAAAGAUGACAUGCAAAUUUGUGAAGAGUUCCAUAUUUAA